AUUGAACGCUGGCGGCAUGCCUUACACAUGCAAGUCGAACGGCAGCGGACCUUCGGGUGCCGGCGAGUGGCGAACGGGUGAGUAAUAUAUCGGAACGUACCUUUCAGUGGGGGAGUAACGUAGCGAAAGUUACGCUAAUACCGCAUAUUCUGUGAGCAGGAAAGCAGGGGAUCGCAAGACCUUGCGCUGAUUGAGCGGCCGAUAUCAGAUUAGCUAGUUGGUGAGGUAAAGGCUCACCAAGGCGACGAUCUGUAGCGGGUCUGAGAGGAUGAUCCGCCACACUGGAACUGAGACACGGUCCAGACUCCUACGGGAGGCAGCAGUGGGGGAAUUUUGGUACAAUGGGCGGCAAGACCUGAUCCACGCCACUGCCGCCGU
rnacentral:rRNA from 1 species